AGUGAACGCUGGCGGUAGGCCUAACACAUGCAAGUCGAACGGCAGCACAGUAAGAGCUUGCUCUUACGGGUGGCGAGUGGCGGACGGGUGAGGAAUACAUCGGAAUCUACUUUUUCGUGGGGGAUAGCGUAGGGAAACUUACGCUAAUGCCGCAUACGACCUACGGGUGAAAGCAGGGGAUCUUCGGACCUUGCGCGAUUGAAUGAGCCGAUGUCGGAUUAGCUAGUUGGCGGGGUAAAGGCCCACCAAGGCGACGAUCCGUAGCUGGUCUGAGAGGAUGAUCAGCCACACUGGAACUGAGACACGGUCCAGACUCCUACGGGAGGCAGCAGUGGGGAAUAUUGGACAAUGGGCGCAAGCCUGAUCCAGCCAUACCGCGUGGGUGAAGAAGGCCUUCGGGUUGUAAAGCCCUUUUGUUGGGAAAGAAAAGCAGCAGGUUAAUACCCCGCUGUUCUGACGGUACCCAAAGAAUAAGCACCGGCUAACUUCGUG
rnacentral:rRNA from 1 species